rnacentral:tRNA from 1 species
UAAGACUGCUGGAUCAGUGGUUAGAGCAUAGGUCUUGUAACCGAAAGGUCGCGGGAUCGAAUCCCGCUAGAGGCUUAA